GCGAGUAAAACAAACGAAUACUAAAGGUUGGACUCGAAAGUGUUUCUUACAACUUGUCAAAUAAACCUAAUCCAUGGAUAUUGACAUGCUGCCAGGAGUCGUGUUUCCUGACAUUUAUAUUUGCCUGAUUUCAACGCCGGGGAGACACAUAAAGCAAAUCUGCCUGUGAAUAUUUUAUAUAACUACAAUAUAGCUCUGCACAAUACGAGUCUGUGUGAGUUUGGGGUGGAGGACAGUGUACUCAAGUCAACAUAAAGCAGACACACCAGCAGAUACAGGCCACACCCGAACACUAAUGUGACCAAAAGGAUCUUUUCUCACCUAAAGCUCCCUGGCAGAUGUCCGUCCGCUUGGCGCCGUCCACAAUGAACUCAGGGUUUGAGCACAGCUCCUUUAAAAACAGAAAAUUGAGA